AAAUAUCUUUGAGGGACACAAGAAAGACCGGCAGUUGUCUCUUGAUACUCAAGCUUUGUAGACUAAACUUUACAUGUGGGUGGCAAAAAUGAUUGCUCUGUGUGUGGUCCAUGGAGGAGUCAGUCCACAUUUCUUUUCCGAAAGGCUUUUCCAUCUAAUCUGUGGGAUACCAACACCCCCGGCCACGGUGGAUGAAGUUGGUGACCAUACUUUCAGGGAACAGUUAAUAAAAAUACAGGAAGCAACAACAGUCCAAAAGGCGAACAGUGCAAUUGCAGAGGCAGCAGAUAGUCUCAGCAUUAUAGGUGCCUUAAGACAUGUGUCCAGUCUGGAGGAGAAGGACUCCCUUGUCCAGUCAGCUGCAGACUU